GUGUCUUCGGACACAGUGGCGGACGGGUGAGUAACGCGUGAGAAUCUACCUUCAGGUCGGGGAUAACCCCUGGAAACGGGGGCUAAUACCGGAUAGGUCGAAAGAUGAAAGGUUAACUGCCUGAAAAGGGGCUCGCGUCUGAUUAGCUAGUAGGUGUGGUAAGAGCGCACCUAGGCGACAAUCAGUAGCUGGUCUGAGAGGAUGAGCAGCCACACUGGGACUGAGACACGGCCCAAACUCCUACGGGAGGCAGCAGUGGGGAAUUUUCCGCAAUGGGCGAAAGCCUGACGGAGCAAGACCGCGGGGGGGAGGAAGGCCUUUGGGUUGUAAACCCCUUUUGUUAGGGAAAAAAAAAAUGACGGUACCUAACGAAUCAGCCUCGGCUAACUCCGUGCCAGCAGCCGCGGUAAUACGGAGGAGGCAAGCGUUAUCCGGAAUUAUUGGGCGUAAAGCGUCCGUAGGUGGCCCGGCAAGUCUGCUGUCAAAGACCACAGCUCAACUGUGGAAAGGCAGUGGAAACUGCAAGGCUAGAGUGCGGUAGGGGUAGAGGGAAUUCCCAGUGUAGCGGUGAAAUGCGUAGAGAUUGGAAAGAACACCGGUGGCGAAAGCGCUCUACUGGGCCGCAACUGACACUGAUGGACGAAAGCUAGGGGAGCGAAUGGGAUUAGAUCCCCCCAGUAGUCCUAGCUGUAAACGAUGGAAACUA
rnacentral:rRNA from 1 species